GACUACCCCCCUGAAUUUAAGCAUAUUAAUGAGGGGAGGAAAAGAAACUAACAAGGAUUUUCUUAGUAGCGGCGAGCGAAAAGAAAUCAGUUCAGCACUAAGUCACUUUGUCUUUAUGGCAAAUGUGAGAUGCAGUGUAUGGAAUGUCAAAUUUCUAGUAUGAGAAAUUAACGAUUUAAGUCCUUCUUAAAUGAGGCCAUUUACCCAUAGAGGGUGCCAGGCCCGUAUAACGUUAAUGAUUACUAGAUGGCAUUUCCAAAGAGUCGUGUUGCUUGAUAGUGCAGCACUAAGUGGGUGGUAAACUCCAUCUAAAACUAAAUAUAACCAUGAGACCGAUAGUAAACAAGUACCGUGAGGGAAAGUUGAAAAGAACUCUGAAUAGAGAGUUAAAUAGUACGUGAAACUGCUUAGAGGUUAAGCCCGAUGAACCUGAAUAUCCAUUAUAGAAAAUUCAUCAUUAUGAUUUUAAUAUUAAUAAUAUUAUAAUAAUGGUGUGCAUUUUUUCUAUAACGGACAUUGUAAUCUAUUAACAUAAGUAUAUUUAUCAUAAGAUCAAUGAUGCGUAAGUUUAUUCAAAUUAUUUUGCUUGCAAUUUAACAUAGAAUAAAUGCUCUUGAUUUGAUAAAGUGUUGAUAGAUUUAUUGUAUAUAGUGCUUAAAUAUUGAUAUUUUAUAAUAGCAUAUUAAUCAUUGAUUUUUAUGUUUAUUAUAUGCACUUAUAUGAUAACAAUGCGAAAGAUCAGUAC
rnacentral:rRNA from 1 species